rnacentral:rRNA from 1 species
CCGGCUGCUCGAGUGAUGGCCACUAUUACUGGGUUUAAAGCGUCCGUAGCUUGACUGUUAGGUCUCUUGGGAAAUCUUCACGCUCAACGUGAAGGCGUCUAAGAGAUACCGGCAGUCUUGGAACUGGGAGAGGUAAACCGUANUNCGGGGGUAGGAGUGAAAUCUUGUAAUCCUCGAGGGACGACCUAUGGCGAAGGCAGUUUACCAGAACAGCUUCGACAGUGAGGGACGAAAGCUGGGGGAGCAAACGGGAUUAGAUACCCCGGUAGUCCCAGCCGUAAACAAUGUGCGUUAGGUGUGUCGGUAACCACGUGUUACUGAUGCGCCGAAGAGAAAUCGUGAAACGCACCACCUGGGAAGUACGGUCGCAAGGAUGAAACUUAAAGGAAUUGGCGGGGGAGCACCACAACAGGUGGAGCCUGCGGUUUAAUUGGAUUCAACGCCGGACAUCUCACCGGAUAAGACAGCUGAAUGAUUGUCAAUCUGAAGGUUUUACAUGACUAGCUGAGAGGAGGUGCAUGGCCGUCGUCAGUUCGUACUGUGAAGCAUCCUGUUAAGUCAGGCAACGAGCGAGACCCACGCCGACAAUUGCCAGCAGCAUCUCCGGAUGGCUGGGGACAUUGUCGGGACCGCCUCUGCUAAAGAGGAGGAAGGAAUGGGCAACGGUAGGUCAGCAUGCCCCGAAUUAUCCGGGCUACACGCGGGCUACAAUGGACGGGACAAUGGGUAACAACACCGAAAGGUGCAGUCAAUCUCCUAACCCCGUCCUUAGUUAGGAUUGCGGGUUGCAACUCACCCGCAUGAAUCUGGAAUCUGUAGUAAUCGCGUUUCACUAUAGCGCGGUGAAUACGUCCCUGCUCCUUGCACACACCGCCCGUCAAACCAUCCUAGUGGGGUUUGGAUGAGUCCCUGGUCUUUGCCGGGGUCGAAUCUAGGUUCCGUGAG